CCACUCUUCUCUUCUUUUCUCUUUUUUGGAAGAUACGCCACUCUUCUCACGAACGUUCAAACCCCCAAACCCCUUCUCUCUCGUAUUCUUCAGGAGAAUGGCGAACCCUAAUGUCACCGAGAAUGGCAACCUCUCGGAUCACGGCCAAUCGUCGGCGCUGAUCUUCCUCGGGACCGGGUGCUCGAGCGCGGUCCCCAACGCAAUGUGCCUGAUCCAGCCGUCUGAUCCUCCCUGCCAUGUCUGCUUCCAGGCUUUGUCUCUACCACCCGAGCGCAGCCCUAAUUAUAGGUGCAAUACAUCUCUUCUAAUUGAUUAUUGCCGAAGCGAUGGUAAUCACAGCUAUAUAUUGAUUGACGUUGGGAAGACAUUUCGGGAGCAAGUACUUCGGUGGUUUACUUUCUAUAAGAUUCCUAGAGUGGAUUCUAUUAUUUUGACUCAUGAACAUGCUGAUGCAGUUCUUGGCCUGGAUGAUAUACGCUCUGUGCAACCAUAUAGUGCUACAAAUGAUAUUGAUCCCACUUCCAUAUACCUAAGUCAGCAUGCAAUGGAGAGCAUUGAGGUGAAAUUUCCAUACUUGGUUGAAAAGAAAUUUAAAGAAGGUCAAGAAGUGAGACGGGUAGCACAGCUUGACUGGAGAAUAAUUGAGGACCAAUGUGAGAAACCAUUUGUUGCAUCAGGCCUAGGAUUUGUUCCUUUACCAGUGAUGCAUGGAGAAGACUAUGUCUGUUUGGGUUUCCUAUUUGGUGACAAGUGUAGAGUAGCUUAUAUAUCUGAUGUUUCACGCUUUCCUGCAAGCACGGAGUAUGUUAUUUCGAAAAGUGGGGCUGGACAGUUGGAUAUUCUCAUAUUGGAUACAUUAUAUAAGAAUGGAUGCCAUAAUACACACUUUUGCUUGCCACAGUCACUUGAAGCUGUGAAGAGGAUAUGUCCUAAGCGAGCCCUGUUUAUUGGUAUGACUCAUGAGUUUGAUCACCACAAGGACAAUGACUUUCUGAUGGAAUGGACUAAAAGGGAAGGAAUUCCUGUGCAACUUGCGCAUGAUGGUUUGAGAAUCCCCGUAGCCCUAUGAUAAGUCAUUGAAGAAUGGGUUGGCGUGAAAAUGGACAUCCAUGGGGCACCCAUAUGCCUGAGUGCCUGACUAACCUGAACUGCUGACCGACUCUUGACCCGAGUCCAUACUAUGAAACAAGAAAAAGAAGCUCCACAAAGAUCUUCGGAUUCGUGAAAGAUCUUCUAUUGUGAGACCACUCAAAUUAUAGAAGGAAUAAAAUAAAUUUACCAUGGUUGCCAGUACUAUCAAUUCGACUGGAGAGAUCAUUGUUUCUAUUAAAUGAUUGAUUAUGAUAGCUUUAAUGUUUUUUUUAUUGUGUCACUGCACGUAACUAAUGGGAAGAAACAGAAGCCCUCUUUGACUAUUGUUUCCUCUAAUUUAAAGUAUUUGGUAUUGCCGUUCUCUCAUA